GCCGCGGUAAUUCCAGCUCCAGUAGCGCAUAUAUUUGUUGCUGCAGUUAAAAAGUCCGUAGUUGAUCACGAAGACUAUCCAUUCGUGGGUAUGUUUUUGAUACUGUGAGAAAAUUAUAGUUCUCCAAGCAAAUUAUUCAUUGAGUAAUCUAGCAUGGGACAUAGUGAAUAUAGGAACAGAUGAUGGCAAUAGUAUUCAACAGUUAGAGGUGAAAAUUGAUGACCUGUUGAGGACUCUCGGAAGCGAAAGCGAUUGUCAAGGAUGUUUCCGUUAAUAAAGGACUUAAGCUGGAGGAUCGAAGAUGAUUAGAUACCGUCGUAGUUCCAGCUGUAAACGAUGCCGACUAAGUGAGGCCAUUUGGCUGUGCUUUAAGAGAAAUUAAGAGUUUUUGGGCUCUGGGGAUAGUACGAUUGCAAGAUUGAAACUUAAAGAAAUUGACGGAAGGACACCACAAGGAGUGGAGUGUGCGGCUUAAUUUGACUCAACGCGGGGCAACUUACCAGGACCGUAUGUAUAGGAGAUUGGCGGUUUGAGAAGACUCCCGAGAUUAUACAGCAAGUGGUGCAUGGCCGUUUUCAACACGUGGGGUGACCUGUCAGGUUAAUUCCGAUAACGCGUGAGGCCCAAUAAGCAACUCUGUUGUUUGACGGGUAGCGGCAAGCUAUAGGAAGAUGGGCGAUAACAGGUCAGUGAUGCCCUUAGAUGGUCUGGGCUGCACGCGCACUACAGUGGUCGCAGAAAUCAGUGCCCGAGCGGCAAUGGCGAUCGAGAGGGAACGAGCUCUGGAAGGGGCUCGGGAACGAGGAAUUGCUAGUAAUCGUGGGCUCAUUAAGACACGGUGAAUACGUCCCUGUUCUUUGUACACACCGCACGUCGU
rnacentral:rRNA from 1 species